CCUACGGGAGGCUGCAGUGAGGAAUAUUGGUCAAUGGGCGUAAGCCUGAACCAGCCAAGUCGCGUGAGGGAUGAAGGCUCUAUGGAUCGUAAACCUCUUUUAUAAGGGAAUAAAGUGCGGGACGUGUCCCGUUUUGUAUGUACCUUAUGAAUAAGGAUCGGCUAAGUCCGUGCCAGCAGCCGCGGUAAUACGGAGGAUCCGAGCGUUAUGCGGAUUUAUAGGGUUUAAAGGGUGCGUAGGCGGCCUUUUAAGUCAGCGGUGAAAUUCUGUGGCUCAACCAUAGAAUUGCCGUUGAAACUGGGAGGCUUGAGUAUGUUUGAGGCAGGCGGAAUGCGUGGUGUAGCGGUGAAAUGCGUAGAGAUCACGCAGAAUCCCGAUUGCGAAGGCAGCCUGCCAAGCCAAGACUGACGCUGAUGCACGAAAGCGUGGGGAUCAAACAGGAUUAGAUACCCUGGUAGUC
rnacentral:rRNA from 1 species